GGGGCUGUAGCUCAGUGGUAAAGCACUUGCUUCGCAUGUUUGAGGCCCUGGGUUUGAUCCUCAGCCACCUCG
rnacentral:tRNA from 1 species